CCCACCUGAUCCCAUGCCGAACUCAGAAGUGAAACGCCGUAGCGCCGAUGGUAGUGUGGGGUCUCCCCAUGCGAGAGUAGGACACUGCCAGGC
rnacentral:rRNA from 1 species